CAGCAGCCGCGGUAAUACGUAGGGUGCGAGCGUUAAUCGGAAUUACUGGGCGUAAAGCGCGCGCAGGCGGUUCGUUAAGACAGAUGUGAAAUCCCCGGGCUUAACCUGGGAACUGCAUUUGUGACUGGCGAGCUAGAGUAUGGCAGAGGGGGGUAGAAUUCCACGUGUAGCAGUGAAAUGCGUAGAGAUGUGGAGGAAUACCGAUGGCGAAGGCAGCCCCCUGGGCCAAUACUGACGCUCAUGCACGAAAGCGUGGGGAGCAAACGGGAUUAGAUACCCCUGUAGUCCCUGUCUCUUAUAC
rnacentral:rRNA from 1 species